ensembl:lncRNA
AUGCUCCAUGAUAAAUUGGAUCUAGUGGCACAAAGGAAUCCCGAGCCUUCACGUGAUGUCUGCAGUUUGGACAGGAAAGGAAGUGAGAUAUAACACCUGCAAGGUGCUGUGACGCUCAGCAGUGGUUGUCAGUGCUGUUAGAAAUGUGCCAUGAAGCUCAAGCAAAGGGCAAGGAGUGAACAGCAAACUUAUUCUGAUGGAUGGAGGAAAUUUGAAUCUGAAUUUCACAUGAAUGCUCCUUGCGUCCCUGCUUCCUCCUGGACUCAUGCAGAGAAGCCACUCCCUUGUCCCUUUUGAGGGUCGCAAAUAGCACCCACAGCCCAGCCAUCUUUAGCAUCAAAUGGUAGGGACAGACUUUAAGGAAGCAGUGGGUGUUUGCAAGAGCUGAUGGCCUCAUCCCAAAAUCUCUGCGGAGCUGAUGCACAGGUUUCUCGGCCAGCAGCUCCAGCAGGCAGACCCAUGGGCUCCAUCUGUCUCGGGAACAGCUCGGAGGAAUGGGUUUGGAGCUACAAAUGGGUCUCAGGGACAACUCUUGGAACCAGAAUUGGAUACGGAGCUUAUUUUCCUUCAGCGCUUCAGAGUGAAAAGGUCUUUCGUGGGAUGUGAGCUCUGAAUUCCUCCUGGGGAUGAGGGAGUGCAGGUGGGAGCCGCUCUGCCCCGGUGGGACGUCACAAAGCUGCAGUGACUCACAGCAGCCCCAGUGCAGUGUUUGGACUCCCUGCAGUCACCUUGAAAACUUCUACUGACAUUGUAAGAUACCUUUCUUUUUUUCCUGUUAAAGCAAUUGCUGUUGAAAUUUGCCAGUGAUGCUGCAGGCAGAAGAUCUUAAUGGAGAGAAGAUAAUAUAUUGGUGCUGUGGUGUAUGAGCUGUGUACAAUUCCUAUGUUAUGCUGUGCUAGGAGUGAUGUGGUUGGACAAUUUUGUAUCUUAGAGGGAGGUUUUUGGCAACUGACUUGGCUUGAAAUCAGUUCAGUCCACACAGUGCUCCUGACUAAAUGUAAGGUGGAGAAAGGCAGCAGUGUCAUGUGUUGAACCAUCCUGAGGACACACAUUCAUUGCAUUCAACUUUAUCUGGGAUGUCCUUAGUCCAUUUUCACCUUGCUCCAAAGGAACGGAAGCAAGUUAGCAGUGGGUUGUUAGAGUUAGGGUAGGAUGGUUAGCUUGCAGUUGGGCUUGAUGAGCUUGAAAGUCUUUUCCAACCUGAGCAAUUCCAUGAUUCUAUCAGAAGCAGUGCAACCAGAGGAGGCUGUGGGUGACAUCACCAUUCCCUGUGGCACCUGGAGGGAAUUGGAGUGAAGAGGUGUUGCUCUCCUUUCUCAGGUGGCAAGUGAUAAAUAGGGUGUGAGGAAAUGGCCUCAAGUUGUGCUGAGAAGGUUUACAUCAGGUGUUAGGAAGAAUUCUUCACAGGGAGGGUGCUCAGGCACUGGAAAAGGCUGCCCAGAGAUGUGGCAGAGGUGUUUAGAAGUGUGGAUAUGGUGCUUAGGGACAUGGUUUCAUGAUGGAAGGUGGUAGGUUGGUUUGAUGGUUGGACCUGAUGAUCUUUCCCUUCCCAGGUCUUUUCCAACCUAGAUGAUUCCAUGAAUCUAUGAUUCCAAGUAUGAUGAUAACGUCUAUUGCAGUGUUUUGUUGGAGAAUGUCUCCUUGCCCA